rnacentral:rRNA from 1 species
GAUGAACGCUAGCUACAGGCUUAACACAUGCAAGUCGAGGGGCAGCAUGAACUUAGCUUGCUAAGUUUGAUGGCGACCGGCGCACGGGUGAGUAACACGUAUCCAACCUUCCGUUUACUCAGGGAUAGCCUUUCGAAAGAAAGAUUAAUACCUGAUAGUAUGGUGAGAUUGCAUGAUAACACCAUUAAAGAUUUAUUGGUAAACGAUGGGGAUGCGUUCCAUUAGGUAGUAGGCGGGGUAACGGCCCACCUAGCCGACGAUGGAUAGGGGGUUCUGAGAGGAAGGUCCCCCACAUUGGAACUGAGACACGGUCCAAACUCCUACGGGAGGCAGCAGUGAGGAAUAUUGGUCAAUGGGCGAGAGCCUGAACCAGCCAAGUAGCGUGAAGGAUGAAGGUCCUACGGAUUGUAAACUUCUUUUAUACGGGAAUAAAGUAUCCUACGUGUAGGAUUUUGUAUGUACCGUAUGAAUAAGCAUCGGCUAACUCCGUG